AAAAUUCUGAGAUUCUGUGAUUCUGUGAUAUAAGAAAAGAUAUAUAAUUCAUGAGUGAAAGUGCUACCACUAAUAAAAAAAAAAAACAAACAAAAACUGCAGCAACAACUAUCAAGUCUGUGCUUUAUAUUCAUGAAAAUAAAUUAUAGCAAAUCUCCCUUCCUGCUGUUUCUUGCCUGCAGGAUGGAGGGCGAUGAAGGAGUCCUUUGGAACACAGGUUCAUUUGUGCAGGUCUGGUGCAAGGGAAAGAAACACAGCAAAGCAAGUUCUCCAGGUACCAAUGUUUUUAGAAACCUUCUAUUCUAGUGGGCUAAAAUCAACCGAGCAACUGCGUCUACUUCAGAUGAGAAAACCAUGGACAGCCUGUAAGCAGUUCCUGAUCUGCUACCCAAAAAUCUGUUCUCUGAUUGGUGUCAUUUCAUCAGCUAUUAAUGAAAGUCACUUGAUUUUCUUCUAAUCUUCCCCAAGACAUUCAGCAUUUUUCUAAUGCUUUUACCUAGGAACUAUCUAUAUAUGAACAAUAGUACAAUUUGUUUGAAUAAAUGUUACCAUUAGUCAGAAUGUGGGAGUUUCACGGACAUUUCUGACUUUUAAGUAGCAAAAUGAAAAUAGAAAAAUUUUGCAGCACACCCUCCUCAAAAACCAACCAAGCAGCAAAAACAGUUUCCACAUCAUUUCAGUUUCUGUUCAUGUGUAUUGACAAAAUGCUCUACAAGAGUUUUAUUUUAUCUGCUCACAUCUUCUCUCUCGUGAAGCCUUCCUCUUCUGUUGAACUACAACUGCCACAGUCUUUUCAGUCUCACUGAGUGGCACAGCCUCUAUCCUGGGUUGCCAGUAAGGCAUGCAGUUGAUGGGGAAAGCCAACCAGCAGAGAAGUAUGAGUGCAAGAAGCUCUCAUAUUAUGAUUUCUGUGAGCCAGGCAUUCUCAAGUGAAUCUCAAACUCUUCUGUUACUUUUUCACAAG
ensembl:lncRNA